rnacentral:rRNA from 1 species
GACGAACGCUGGCGGCGUGCUUAACACAUGCAAGUCGAACGGAAAGGCCCUGCUUUUGUGGGGUGCUCGAGUGGCGAACGGGUGAGUAACACGUGAGUAACCUGCCCUUGACUUUGGGAUAACAUCAGGUAACUGGGGCUAAUACCGGAUAGGAGCUCCUGCUGCAUGGUGGGGGUUGGAAAGUUUAGGCGGUUGGGGAUGGACUCGCGGGUUAUCAGCUUGCUGGUGGGGUAGUGGCUUACCAAGGCUUGGACGGGUAGCCGGCAUGAGAGGGGGACCGGCCACAUGGGGCCUGCGAGACGGCCCAGACUCCUACGGGAGGCAGCAGUGGGGAAUAUGGCACAAUGGGCGGAAGCCUGAUGCAGCAACGCCGCGUGCGGGAUGACGGCCUUCGGGUUGUAAACCGCUUUAGCCUGUGACGAAGCGUGAGUGACGGUAAUGGGUAAAGAAGCACCGGCUAACUACGUG